rnacentral:rRNA from 1 species
AACGAACGCUGGCGGCAUGCCUAACACAUGCAAGUCGAACGAGACCUUCGGGUCUAGUGGCGCACGGGUGCGUAACACGUGGGAAUUUGCCUCGGGGUAUGGAAUAACUCAGGGAAACUUGAGCUAAUACCAUAUAAUGUCUUCGGACCAAAGAUUUAUCGCCCUGAGAUAAGCCCGCGUAGGAUUAGCUAGUUGGUGGGGUAAAGGCUCACCAAGGCGACGAUCCUUAGCUGGUCUGAGAGGAUGAUCAGCCACACUGGGACUGAGACACGGCCCAGACUCCUACGGGAGGCAGCAGUGGGGAAUAUUGGACAAUGGGCGAAAGCCUGAUCCAGCAAUGCCGCGUGAGUGAUGAAGGCCUUAGGGUUGUAAAGCUCUUUUGCCCGGGAUGAUAAUGACAGUACCGGGAGAAUAAGCUCCGGCUAACUCCGUGCCCAGCCGAGCCGCGGUAAAGUGACUACUG